rnacentral:lncRNA from 1 species
CAUUCUUUUAGUUUGCUGGGUUCUCUGUGACUUGAAAGCAUGAUGUAUCUCCUGGUAGGGCCAUUGCCACUUGUAAUAAUGGCGCCUUGUGGCUUAAUGAGAACAGGCUCUAUUAAUCCCUCUUUGUCUGACCUCAGACAACCUCGCCCUCAGUGGAAGCAGGAUUCUUAGGCCCUUGGGACCCUUUUGAACUGUUGUCAUAGUGAUUGGUGCCAGGGGCAGGGUCACUGAGCCAAUAUCCCUAACCAAACCAUCUCUGUCUUAAUGAAACCCACAGAUCAUGGCUGUUCAGUCCCAAAGAUGGAGAGAGAAGUGAUUAAUCAAGCAACACGGCCAGCAUUUGGUCUGAGUGUACUAAGGCUGGGGUGCCCCACAACCUUCUGGAGCCUGGUAACUUUCCCCAAAAGAAAACUUAGCUGACCUGCCCAGAAGGCCCCCAGGGUGAGACUGCUAUAGCCCCAAGGCUCUGGAGCCACUCCCAAAUGCUUAGCUCAAGCCCUUGGGGGCCUCUCAGAGAAUGCUGUCACUGAAACAAGCUCUGACCCCAGAGACUCUCAGGCCCGCUCCCUGUGGUGCAGGUGGGGAAACCGAGGCCCACCAGAGCCGGCUCUGAUUCCAGAGCACUCAGCACCUGAGAUUCUAAACCAGGCCCUUUUCCUCCCCACCUCCCACUUCUGAAAAGGAGUCUCUUUAAAAACAGUUGGUAUUUUUGCAGUAAGUUUUUUUUUUAAGUCUGAUCUGUUAAAAAAAAAAAAAAGACCACACACACACCUUUUUGUUUUGUUUUGUUUUGUUUUAAUUACACAAGCAAAUCAUGAGUAUGUUUUCCUUGAAACAACAACAGCAACUACAAAAACACCAGAGCAUUGCGGAUGGAUGAGAUUCAAAUGCCUUUGGCCUCAGUCCACAAUCCCAGCAGCACCUCCCCAGAC